GACGAACGCUGGCGGCGUGCUUAACACAUGCAAGUCGAACGGAAAGGCCCUGCUUUUGUGGGGUGCUCGAGUGGCGAACGGGUGAGUAACACGUGAGUAACCUGCCCUUGACUUUGGGAUAACUUCAGGAAACUGGGGCUAAUACCGGAUAGGAGCUCCUGCUGCAUGGUGGGGGUUGGAACGUUUCGGCGGUUGGGGAUGGACUCGCGGCUUAUCAGCUUGUUGGUGGGGUAGUGGCUUACCAAGGCUUUGACGGGUAGCCGGCCUGUGAGGGUGACCGGCCACAUUGGGACUGAGAGACGGCCCAGACUCCUACGGGAGGCAGCAGUGGGGAAUAUUGCACAAUGGGCGGAAGCCUGAUGCAGCAACGCCGCGUGCGGGAUGACGGCCUGCGGGUUGUAAACCGCUUUCGCCUGUGACGAAGCGUGAGUGACGGUAAUGGGUAAAGAAGCACCGGCUAACUACGUG
rnacentral:rRNA from 1 species